UGUGGGAGGGGGCUUGCCCCCGAUGCGGUAUGUCAGCCAGCGCUGUUGUCGCUGACCCACUGCCAUCGGGGGCAAGCCCCCUCCCACA
rnacentral:misc_RNA from 1 species